CAAAUCUCUAGCAUAGCGUUGAUCCGAUAAGAUCAUAGGAGUCUGUUUACACAUCUGUCCCUCUGUAAAGGGUACAGUAGUUUCCAGUCCAUUGUUAUUCUUAAUGAAUCAUUUUGGUGUUUUAUAAAAUAUCCUGUUUAAAGAAAACCUAACCUCACAGUCAAGAUUGGAGGCACCAGGGUGAAAUACACCAGAUCUAUGGAUCAGAGUGCAGUAAAGAUGGAACAAAGCUGGCUGUAUGAGGUGCUGUGCUAGGGAGGUGAAGAGACAGUGCUUUCAAAGAAGUUUUUGGGUCCAUCCACCCCUGAGCAGGUGCAA